rnacentral:misc_RNA from 1 species
UAUAAAGAACGGGAUAUCGUGCUUUAAACAAUUUAUUACAAGUUCGGAUUAGAUACAGACAUUAACAACGCAACAGAAACACGUUAACAUUCAAUUACAAUACAAGAAACAAUCACAUGCGCUCUAGACGACGGCGCGGGACCCACUGUAAUUUAUUACAAGUUCGGAUUAGAUACAGACAUUAACAACGCAACAGAAACACGUUAACAUUCAAUUACAAUACAAGAAACAAUCACAUGCGCUCUAGACGACGGCGCGGGACCCACUGUAUCUAUGCGCCGUGCACCGACUCGCGCGGUGCCGCGCCGCACGCGCCGCUACCCUUACCCCUCUCUAGCCGCCGCGCUCGGUCGGCUGCGUAGCAACUGCGCGCGAUCGCCGCGCUACUACCAGGUCCGCGCGUUACGCAAGU